ensembl:snRNA U6 U6 spliceosomal RNA
GUGCUUACUUAGGCAGCACAAAUGAUAAGUUGGAAUCGAUACAGAGAUGCAUGGCCCCUGCGAAAGGAUGACACGCAAAUUCAUGCAGCAUUUUCACAUUUU